rnacentral:lncRNA from 1 species
UGCUCACUGCAAACAAUAUCCUGCUCAGCAUUUUUACCCACAUCUGAAAAAUGUCCCUCUGUUUGUUGCGUUGUCAAUCCAUCAUCUGUCUUGUACCGGUCAACCUGCCCCUCACUGUCAUCCUUUGCAGUUGCAACUUUUUUAGCUACUUCCCCUAUCAAACUGCUGACCACGCAGUCUAAAAUUUCAUUUGCCAUAACCCGGAGUUGAUCUUCUGGUACCUUUUGCUGAUUCUGAUCACCAUCUGAAUUUUUAUUUGGAUCAACAUCCAUUCCCUCUCCGCCUACACCAGUCUGUGAUUUAUUUUGUCCACUUUUUGACUUUUUUCUUGUGCCAUUGUUGUUAUCUUUGUGGCCAUCAUCACCCAAAGCAUCAUCAUCG